ACCGCCCUUCCUAGAUCCUUGCAAGAUGGCUGAAAUGUCUGAAGUGGAUCUGGAUGCUCUAGUGCAGUGGUCCAGGUGGAGGGACUGGGCCUGGAAGAAAACAAAGUGGGCUCUGGGGCCUAUGGAAUAGUCUUCAAAGUCACAGUCAACGGAAAAAAGUGUAUUGCAAAGAAACUUCACAAUAUCUUGCUCCAAGCUGGCAACUACUACCCUCAUGCCCCCACUCAGCAGAGGGAGUUCAUUGUGAGAAAAUUCCGCAAGGAGUGUUGCAUUCUGAAGAGUUUGGAUGAUCCCAACGUGGUCAGCUUUGAGGGAGUCCAUUACGGCCAUGACAAGAACGACAUCAGUCUGAUAAUGGAGAGGCUUCAUUCUGACCUGGCCGACUUUGUCAAGAAGAAUCCCAGCACAAACCUUGCCACUAGAAUCCACAUUCUGUACGAUGUAUCUAAGGGCCUUCGCUACCUUCACUCUCUGACCCCUCCCCUCAUCCACCGAGAUCUCACUGCUCCCAACAUCCUGCUCACUGAGGACCUCACUGCCAAGAUCGGAGACCUGGGCGUGUCCAGGUAUGUGGAUCCAACAGUGCCCACCAUCUUGUCCACUAAUCCGGGACACCUCUUCUACAUGUCUCCGGAAAGCCAGGAAGAGAAUCCCGUUUACACCACCAAGCUAGACAUCUUCUCUUUCGGCAAUCUCAUCAUCCACACCGUCAUCGGGGACUUGCCUAAGGUGUACAGAAUUUCAGCCAGUGAUCCCAAUGAAGCAUUGUACAAGCGUGAGGGGAAAAUAGAGCUGAUGAGAAGAAACACAUCCGUCCAUGUUAAAAUGGGGGAGGAUCACACUCUUUAUCCUCUCGUUGUUCGUUGCCUCUACGACCGACCCGAGCAGAGACCAGCAGUUGAGGAAGUGAGCAGCUCACUCAGAGAGCUGUGUCACAGGCACCCCAGAAUGGCAAUUGACAUUUGUUACUAUGAUGCCCUUUACUCGUGCAGUCACUCCUGGAAGCAUACAAGGCUGGUAAUGUGGGUGUGGUUCAGGAGCUACUGGACGGUGGGGCUGAUCCCAACCAGGCUGAUGAGAAGAAUAACAGAACUGUUGUUUGCUGGGCCAGUGAGAAUGGACAUGAUGAGGUGGUGAUGGUCCUUAUUCGAGCUGGAGCUAAUGUCAACACUCUAGACAAGUGGAGACAGUCCCCUCUCUGGUUAGCCAAUUUAUAUGGUCACCAGAAGUGUGUGCAGCUUUUACUUUAAGCUAGGGCCAUUGUUGAUGUACAAAAAGAGGUGAGUGUACGAGUCAGUGUAGUUGUAUCUAAACAACCAUAAGCUAUAGUAACUGCCAUCGUAGCCGUGCAUGUUAUAACUUCACCUUUGUACUCAGGUAGGUUAAGGACUGGGACCAACUGGGACCAGCAAUUAUUGCUGAAUCAGCUAAAACGCAGCCACGCCCACGAUUUUUAAUAUGUUUUGUGUGUAAAAAAUUAGUUUAGCUACUUAUCUUUUUUAGUUCUAAUUCCGGAGGUCUAAACCUUCCUUUCAGCUCUAAAUUUUUAGUGUAGUAGGUAGUUCAAAGGUUUGUGCAGACUAUUCAAUCGGGAGGGAGCUGUUCAUUCAGCCAAAGGUGAGAUUUUGCAAAAAACGUAGUUUUCUAGCUGUUAAUUUUAAAUGUAAAAGCUAAUAACUUACUUUGCAUAGAGUACCAUGCUUCCUCCCGAUUGAAUAAUCUGCACAAACAAGUAUCUUACUUUUUUCAUGUCGAAAUAACACAUGCUAUGCAAUGUGCGCAAGAUUAUAUCUACGUACUUCAUUCAAAAAUCGUUUGGAGUCUCUACAAGGAAUAACUGUAUAUCUUCUAAUUCAUCGAACACUUCCAGACACUUUUGGGAAAUUUUCGUUGUUCUAAUACAGUGGACACUUCAUUUCAUUUUCAAUUUUGCGUUUUUCGAGGGUAGAGCAGUAAUGCGAAAAAUACAACCAGGAUAAACUCCUACAUACCGAUAUGUUCACAUGCAAAGCUAUUGGUGGUCCUGGCAUUGAAACGCGAGUAUUAGAACCCACGAAAUUUCUGCUGAGGGCUCUGGAGCCAAAUAGCGAAAAUUUGCACCCGCGAAAUUUUCCCACUAUACGGUACCUUGAAAAGUUGAGACACAUUCGAUCCAAGCAACAUAGCUUUAUAGCCAGCAAGGGUGCUGCAAGUUAGAUAGCUCUUCAGUCGCACACUAGCUGUUCUAUUAAACUUAGCUAGCUCGCAUACAACUGCAUGCUUCUUCUGGAUACUUUGCGUGCUCUAUAAAGAUCUGUUCCAAUUAUGCCCGGACAAUUUACAAAAUAAAUGUUUGCUGUCCGAUAACUAUACGGUACAUACAUCUACAAACAGUCCUUACCAAAACUGUAUUGACUGUAUGCAAAAAACUACCAGCGACAAACGUACAUAUGAAUGAGGCUGUAACGGACGGGAGUUAUGCUCUGCUCUCUAGUUUCUAUGCUUUUUGGUGUUUCUCCCCGGCCAAUCCUAGAAAUUUUUCACAUUGCAAGAAAUAAUGACUUUAGAUCUACAAACAGUCCUUAGCAAAACGUUUGCUAGCCAUAUCACACAACUAGUGCAUUAUAGAUCCAGCUGAAAUGGUACAAAACACAAGAGUACAAAAUAAACGCACAGUACAGAUGCUAGCGUGCGUACGUGGUAGAGUACCAUAAGCGUACUUUCAGCACUUAUUUUGCUCCUUAUUAACGUGCUACGUACAUACUACGUAAACAUAACGGGAACUGUAUAUUGACCGCUACUGUAUGUAUGUGUCAUUGGUUGUAGAAACAGACCUCUUUAGACUGCACGUGCGCAACUGGAUUGAACUACAGUAUUUUUUGAAACAUAGCGCUUUUCUAAUUAAGCACCACUUUGAUUCUCCCAUUAUCGUAAUUUCGCAAACUUAUUUUCGCGAACAGUGAGGUUUUACUUAAAAUACGUUCCUCACCCGCGACCUCGUUUCGAGGCUUGUGGCCUAGCUGUGAUAUCAUUUCACUGAUAGCAUGCAGUUACCAUACAAAUGAAUUGUUUCUUGUGCAUUAACGUUACAUGUACAAUUACAUGUACAAUGUCAUUGAACUAUCAAACACAUUCUAAUGCCAUAUACAAGGAACAGCAGGUACAUAACCUGCGGCAAAAUUGGGUGAUCGAAAUUGUUCUGAGAUUUGGGAUAAAGGACGUAUAGUUGUUCCCUGCAUAUACUUCUUGGAGGGAAACAGAAAAACUUAUUAUAUCCGCUCUUGAUACCUACUCACUAAAUAAAACUACUUUUCUUCACUAAACCACACCGCGUAAUUAUUGUGAACACAUGGUAUUUAUCUACUGCACAUGCUCACACUCAAAGGAACUUAAUUGCGAAUAAGACUAAAAUCGUACUCGCUCAUGCGUAAUUGGAGAGCGUUAUGAAUGUCAUUGAAGCAUGGAUUUUUCCAUCUUCAGCAACAAUUUUCAUUCGCAUGCCCUUUCUGUGUGCACCACUCUUUGUACAUGCUUUCUAUCAACACAGAACAAACACUUCAUUUGCUGGUCUCUCUCUAGCACUGUCCUUGGAAUGCCUGAUCUGCAAUGUAAUUUAACUUCUCUUUCUACCGCAAGAGAUACUAAAAGAGUAUUAUUUACCGCAUUCAACAAGAUGUCCAUACAUUGACUCAACACAAAGUCCAUGUGAUCACAAAAGAAUAUCACGAUCAAGCACAAAGUAGUGUUUAUGUAGUGAGGUAGCUAGUUAGGAGUUUGGCAAGAAUGCUGCUAUUCAUAUAUAUCGUAUAGCGUGUAAUUUUCGUGGGGCAAAAUAUUCGUGGUUUUCGUGGUUGGAGGUCUGACCACGAAUAUUUUACCCACGAAUGAAGCGACCUUGCCUACCUUUACCUGCAGUGCAAGCUCCAACCACGAAAAUAUUACCCACGAAAUGUCUCAAUAUUGCUGAACCACGAAUAUUUUGUCCCCCGCCCCCGAAAAUUACCCGCUAUACGGUACAUUCCUAGUUCAACAGGACUCCUCUGAUGUCUGCUGCCAAAAAUGGACACUCUGCCAUUGUCCGUCACCUUCUCUCCUGUGGAGCUGACCCCAACCUCAGGAACAAG